GACGAACGCUGGCGGCGUGCUUAACACAUGCAAGUCGAACGGAAAGGCCCUGCUUUUGUGGGGUGCUCGAGUGGCGAACGGGUGAGUAACACGUGAGUAACCUGCCCUUGACUUUGGGAUAACUUCAGGAAACUGGGGCUAAUACCGGGUAGGAGCUCCUGCUGCAUGGUGGGGGUUGGAAAGUUUCGGCGGUUGGGGAUGGACUCGCGGCUUAUCAGCUUGUUGGUGGGGUAGUGGCUUACCAAGGCUUUGACGGGUAGCCGGCCUGAGAGGGUGACCGGCCACAUUGGGACUGAGAUACGGCCCAGACUCCUACGGGAGGCAGCAGUGGGGAAUAUUGCACAAUGGGCGGAAGCCUGAUGCAGCAACGCCGCGUGCGGGAUGACGGCCUUCGGGUUGUAAACCGCUUUCGCCUGUGACGAAGCGUGAGUGACGGUAAUGGGAAAAGAAGCACCGGCUAACUACGUG
rnacentral:rRNA from 1 species